AAGUGACACUAUUCAAUUAGAGAACAAAGCCUGUGCAAAAGGAUUCAUUCCUCUACAAUAAGAUGGGGCAGAGAUACAUGCUAACUGAUGGUGUAGUGUUUUUUAGAUCCUGAAUCCCAGUGGAACAGCUGUCAUCAAGUGGUCUGAAGACCCCCACCAAGGAACCAAUUCAGCAGAAGAAUGCAGUUUUCUUCAUCUCUCUGUCCCAUGACUUCACCCUUUACUUUUCAAUCAAUCAGUGAUCCCCACACUUUAGCCCAUCACCCAUCCAGACCGCUUAAAAAAUCCAUCACCAGAUGUCUCAGGGAGGCACAUUUGAGGUUUCUUCUUGUCUCCUCCUUCAGCUGCUCUUUGAUUAUUAAACUCUUUCUGUGUGGCAACCCCUAGUGUCUCAGGAUAUUGAAUCACUCUGCAUUGGGCAAUGAACUUACGGUUACAAGACUGCUCCCCACAUCAGACAUGGUUGCAAAUAGUGUAUCCCC
rnacentral:lncRNA from 1 species